GGACGAACGCUGGCGGCGUUCUUAACCCAUGCAAGUCGAACGGAAAGGCCCUGCUUUUGUGGGGUGCUCGAGUGGCGAACGGGUGAGUAACACGUGAGUAACCUGCCCUUGACUUUGGGAUAACUUCAGGAAACUGGGGCUAAUACCGGAUAGGAGCUCCUGCUGCAUGGUGGGGGUUGGAAAGUUUCGGCGGUUGGGGAUGGACUCGCGGCUUAUCAGCUUGUUGGUGGGGUAGUGGCUUACCAAGGCUUUGACGGGUAGCCGGCCUGAGAGGGUGACCGGCCACAUUGGGACUGAGAUACGGCCCAGACUCCUACGGGAGGCAGCAGUGGGGAAUAUUGCACAAUGGGCGGAAGCCUGAUGCAGCAACGCCGCGUGCGGGAUGACGGCCUUCGGGUUGUAAACCGCUUUCGCCUGUGACGAAGAGUGAGUGACGGUAAUGGGUAAAGAAGCACCGGCUAACUACGUG
rnacentral:rRNA from 1 species